rnacentral:lncRNA from 1 species
GAGGAUGUACCAACCCACUAGGACAUUCGCGGACAUUGGCAGCAGGUAUGUUGUCCCUAAUUUCAUGGCUCCUUCGUGACUCUUUUUUAGUUUUUUUACACAUAUUCUUCGACUUAACUUUGAAUUUAACACUAUUAAGUUUUUAUAUAAUUAAAUAAUACAAUAAAACUGAAAAUUUAACAAACAAACAAAAAACAACAGCAACCUCCGGAACAACCCUAGCCCCGCAGCAACCAAAACCAAUUUUUCCCACCAUUCAAGUCGGCUGCAAUUGCUCACCGCCGGCGAAGCUCAUUUUUUUAUCGUUUUAUCUCUAUCUUCUUCUCUACAGAUAUCCUCCGACGAAGCAUUGAUUAGAUAUCCUCUUUUGCAUCUCAAAUACCAAAUUUGGAUAAAAUAUAUGUUCCUUGACGUGUUGAAUUGAUCACGAUCUAGUGCGGAACUUGGAGAGAGAGAGCGAAAGGAAGCUUUGCCGGAAGUAAGG